rnacentral:rRNA from 1 species
UGAAUACGAGACGCUAAGGCGUCGAAGUAGUGUAUGUCAUACUUCCAAGAAAAGCUUGCACUGUCAUAGAUAAAAAACGCCUGUACCAUAACCGACACAGGUGGGUAGGUAGAGUAUACUAAGGGGCGCGAGAUAACUCUCUCUAAGGAACUCGGCAAAAUAACUCCGUAACUUCGGGAGAAGGAGUGCCUUAUUCGUAAGGUUGCAAUAACAAGAUCCAAGCAACUGUUUAUCAAAAACACAGGUCUCCGCUAAGUCGUAAGACGAUGUAUGGGGGCUGACGCCUGCCCAGUGCCAGAAGGUUAAAGAAGUUGGUUAGCAAUUGCGAAGCUGAUAACUGAAGCCCUGGUGAACGGCGGCCGUAACAAUAACGGUCCUAAGGUAGCGAAAUUCCUUGUCGGGUAAGUUCCGACCCGCACGAAAGGCGUAAUGAUUUGGAUACUGUCUCGGAGAGGGGCUCGGUGAAAUAGACUUGUCUGUGAAGAUGCGGACUACCUGCACCAGGACAGAAAGACCCUAUGAAGCUUUACUGUAACUUGAAAUUGAAAUUGGACUUUAUUCGCGCAGUAUAGGUGGGAGGCGUUGAUUAUAAUCUUGUGGGAUUAUUGGAGCCAUCAGUGAGAUACCACUCUUGUAAUGUUAGAUUUCUAACUUUGAAUCAUUAUCUGGUCAAAGAACAGUUUCAGGCGGGCAGUUUGACUGGGGCGGUCGCCUCCUAAACGGUAACGGAGGCGUACAAAGGUUUCCUCUGAACGGUUAGAAAUCGUAUAGAGUGUAAAGGCAUAAGGAAGCUUGACUGUGAGACCUACAAGUCGAGCAGGGACGAAAGUCGGUCUUAGUGAUCUGACGGUACUGAGUGGAAAGGCCGUCACUCAACGGAUAAAAGUUACUCUAAGGAUAACAGGCUGAUCUCCCCCAAGAGUUCACAUCGACGGGGAGGUUUGGCACCUCGAUGUCGGCUCAUCGCAUCCUGGGGCGGUAGUACGUCCCAAGGGUUGGGCUGUUCGCCCAUGAAAGCGGUACGCGAGCUGGGUUCAGAACGUCGUGAGACAGUUCGGUCCAUAUCCGGUGUAGGCGUUAGAAUAUUGAGAGGAGCCUUCUUUAGUACGAGAGGACCGAGAAGGACAUACCUCUGGUGUACCAGUUAUCGUGCCAACGGUAAACGCUGGGUAGCUAUGUAUGGAGUGGAUAACCGCUGAAAGCAUCUAAGUGGGAAGCCCACCUCAAGAUAAGUAUUCUCAC